UGUUGUUGCAAUAGUAAUUCUGCUCAGUACGAGAGGAACCGCAGAUUCAGACAAUUGGCAUUUGCACUUGGCUGAAAAGCCAAUGGUGCGAAGCUACCAUCUGUUGGAUUAUGACUGAACGCCUCUAAGUCAGAAUCCUUGCUAGAACGCAACGAUAAUUACCUCCGGAGAAUCUUAGGCGAACAAGGAUAGAGAACGGGCUUGCCCGCUCUCCUGCGUCCCAAUGUACCAAGAGGGAAAACAACCCUCAAGGCACUAAAGUAUAUCAAAGUUUAAAAUUUCUGGAGAUAAAUCCUUUGCAGACGACUUAAAUAAAGAACGGGGUAUUGUACGUUGUAGAGUAGCCUUGUUGCUACGAUCUUCUGAGAUUAAGCCUUUGUUCUACGAUUU
rnacentral:rRNA from 1 species